GCACUGAAAGUGAGAGUUGGAGGAAAGCAAACCGAUUGACCAUCCGAUUCUGCAACGGGUUCGAUGGGUAAACAUGAUUGCCGGUCGGUUUGUUUUCCUCCAAUAUCUCACCUUCAGUCG
rnacentral:pre_miRNA from 1 species